CAAUAUGACACUGUUUUGUUUUAUAGCUACCAUGAAGAAAACAAGUUUUAUUAUCAAAUGUCUAACAGCCUUUUUCAAAAUAAUCAACACACUGAGGAAAAUUACAUUUUAAGAAAAUAAACAGAACUGAACCGCUGGUAGCAGUAAAUUCAUUUAUGAAAUUGGAGCUCGAAAUUUUGUCAAAAACUGUUUUAACAUCACAGUCACUUGGGUGGGGUUAAUGCAAGCACCACCAUAUAACAGUUCCCUUACUCUUUAUGAUAUGCUUCUUAGUUGGAGCACAGAGCCCAAAGAUCUGAGCGAGUUAUGAAGGGUGGCACGAGUCAGGGUCUGCUGGAAUAGAUGCAAUGAAGUUUAAACCCUGAUGAUGGAAUAAAGAAAACUAAUUCUUCGCCCUAUUAUGGAAAAGAGUGUCAAUUAAAAAAGAACAAUCAGCAAAACAGCAUUUCCCUCAUCUCUUUGUAUCUCACACACCAUUGAAUAUUUUGCCCAUUGUUGUAGUGUCGCCAUACCAGAAGACAUGGCUUAAUUAACGCCUUUGUUACAGCAAGUGUCUGACCUGCUUAAAUAUCUUUACGCCAGCCACUGAAGACAGCCAGAGACCAGCUGCAGGGAAGCUAACUGUAAUGUCUGACCUUAAUGUCCUGUUAGGGAAAUGAACAGAAAGUCAUUAAAAAACUAUUGCGCUGAACCUGCGUUUCUCCUUGGAGUCUGUUUGGAGGGAAAACUUUCAGGGGAUAUAGUUUGAAUUAUUUGAAAUCAUCUUCUAAAGAGAGGCUGAAAACAUUUUCAAUCACUAUUACAUUUCACUGCAGAUGAUUAAAUUGUUGACUGAUUUCCCAAAAUGUUUAUUGGCCCACAUAAUCAGGGCAAAACGACAUCUCCAGCUUCUUUGACCAUGCCCGAGUACACUAACAAAAGGUAGCUCAUUUUGACCGUAAUAGUGCUAACAGAAACCAUUCAGGACACCGAGACCGUUGAGUGCCAAUUCAACACAUGACGCCUGACUCAUCCCCUCUGCUCUGAGUCACUCCCUCCCUCCUCUGGUCCAGGAUCUGUGGCUCUCUGCUGGAGCUGGCUCCUCUCUCUUAAUGUUAACCCCGCCACUCGACUGGCAGGAAGCCGGCCAAGGAUGCAGACACGGCCCUACUGAGGAGGAAGGGGCUGUUUUCAUUUCAGUUCUUUCUUCAUGUAGACAAAGACUGGGUGGGAUGAUGGUGUGGCAAGAAGAGGGCAAGCCAAGGGACGUCAUGAGGGACUGGAGCGCCGCCACGCUGCUCCUCCGUUCCAACCAUUCUGUCGUGUCUUAAAAACAGAUUUAUGAGGAUUUUUGCUUUAUUUGAUAUUGCGGAAGACAGAUUGCUUUGGAGCUUUGGGACGACAUCAAAGCAAAAAAGGCUCUAGCUAAGCUCAUUAUACAAAUGAGCAUUGGGGCCUUGUGCACACUCAGAGCAGUGAACAUGUGAAAGAUGAUCCCACAAGUUAAAAGGCGGUGGCGGGGGUAACCGCACUGGAAGGGCAGAAAGCACGAGAUGACAAGACCACUCAGAGUAUGAAUGAUCCGAGCACGGUGACAUCAGCCACUUCUUGUCACUGCUGAUGUUUUUGCUGCGAGCAACAGCAAAGGACAUCCCCAGACCGGGUCAAAGAGUCAGAGUAUGGCUGGCAGCUGGCAAGAGUGACCAUCAACUUGAUAUUUCUGACUUGUUAUAGUUCAAAUAUAUGUCAAAGCAGUGGGCCUCACGCAUGAAUCGCUCAUACGCACGGACUGGAUCUUAAAUUGUGUGCGAGAACAAUUUGUUUUGUGCCAUUCAUACUUUCCUGCUUGUUCUUAGGUAAUAAUAUCAAAAUUUAAUUUUGCCAGCCAACUCGCAUUUUGUGCUGUUAAAUAUUAAUAAUGGUGAUGAAGAAGCCAUUUACUUUAUGAAAACACAGAAGGAGAAUGUUAUAGCUACAAUUAUUUAUUCAUUUAAUAAUCUAAAUGUUUUACACUUGUUAGACAAAGAUGAUUAGGUUACAGAGGCAGAUUCUUCAAAACCUGUGUGCCGCUCUGGAGCCUCAACUUAGAGUCAGAACUGCUAUCGAUUUCUUGGCUACUGGGACCUUCCAGAGAAAGAUUGGUGAUGUUCUAGCAUAUCCCAGUCCACUGUUAGUCAUGCGCUCCCCAAAGUGUCCCAGGAUGUCAUCCAGUUACCACCACAGUACAUUCAGCAGUGCCAUAUACAGUAUUGCUGCUCAGCAGACCCAGAUAAAUCGACUGUGCUUGUGCGCAUCAAGGCCUCCAAAUCCUCAAUAGAAAACAAUUCCAUUCAAUCAACAUCCAAAUAAUAUGUGAUUCUGCCUGACUGCACCCCCAACAGAGAUCUCCAAUGAUGGCUCAGAUGCACUCCAUGUCUGUUUUAGUAUUUUCCUGCCCCUGUCCCAUGGCUGUAAUAGUAGUCAUUUUCUGUCAGUUCUUUCUUGUGCACAUUACACUGGUUCCUGUUUGCUCUUUUCUGAACCAGUGACCCCACUCAUACUUGAAAAUAAGAUUUCUUUCCUCAACAAAACUUUACAGUACAUUUUCUAAGUUUGGUGGUAUUUCAUUUCCUUUUGCUUCCUUUUCUUUUUUGUUUUUGAGUUUACUGUUACCUGUCAAAUUUCAGUGGCUUGUUGGUUUGUGGUUUACACACAGCACAGAAGUGUGCUGCCCUUUAUUGAGGUAUUUCCAUACGCUAAUUGCAAAUUUCCUGGCACGCGCAACCACUUUCAGAUCAAAUACAAUUCAUCAACAGGCUCAGGUGGGUAAGAACAGACUUGGCUGUCAGCUCACCUUUAAUGAAGCCCACGUAGAAUUCCUGGGUUUGGUAACAAAAGGCCUCAUGCAUUAAUGUUUUCUUCCUUUUAUAAGAGAAAAAAAAGAAAACAUUCAUGCAUGAGGCCUAUUGUUACCAAACGCAUCGAGACUAUAGGAAGUGUAUAAUAGAACAAUUAAAUCUAGAAAUACUUAAAUAUCUGAUAUUAAGCAAGUGCAAGGCCUGGAAAUGGCACAAUUAAGCUACAAAUUAUGUUAAAAAUGACUGGUUAUCAAUUUAUUUACACUUUCUCCUAACUGGAGGCAUGUUCUUAUAAAAUGAUUUCUGCAGUGUUUUCAGAAUCUUUGUCUCCGCUGUGUGCGUAAGAAAUUCAAAUAGUUGUGGAGCUCAGUUCUGUAUGUGCAUAAAACAAAUGUGAACAACGAUGGACCACAUUCCUUAAACUUUAACAAUGGACCGGUUAAAAGGAAGAAGGGUUCACAGCCUGCCUUACACGGCCAGUCUCUAAAAGAACAGUGGGUGCUUCUACUGUACAAUCUCUUUAAGUAUAUAUAUCUCUCCAGGAGGAGAGCCCCUGGAGUUCAAAGCACAGUAAAUACACAGCGGGUGUAUGAACACACCUACAUUAUUAUUUAUGUCUCACCGCCUUAAACUGUGACUGGAAAGAGCUUACUAGAGUAUUUGUUUUUGUGUCUGGGGAAGGAUUACUGGUAUGAGAUAUGAAGUCAACAGUGGUUUGUAAUGUGCAUUGAUCAAUAUCAGCAAAAUUCCAGUCGAAGAUUCACACUGUAAACUUUCAGAAAUAAAAGCAAAGCAAUUUUGUUUUAUUUUUACACA